rnacentral:rRNA from 1 species
GCAUACGACCAAAUCACCCUAAAUGCACUCGGUCUCGUCCGGACUUAGAAGCUAAGCGGAUGUUGAUCCUGGUUAGUACUUUGAUGGGUGACCCAUCAGGGCUUGCCAGGUGUUGUAGGCU